UAGGGGUUCUGAGAGGAAGGUCCCCCACACUGGUACUGAGACACGGACCAGACUCCUACGGGAGGCAGCAGUGAGGAAUAUUGGUCAAUGGGCGAGAGCCUGAACCAGCCAAGUCGCGUGAGGGAUGACGGGUCUAUGGCCUGUAAACCUCUUUUGUGAAGGAAGAACCGCGGGGACGCGUCCCCGCCUGCCAGUACUUCACGAAUAAGCAUCGGCUAACUCCGUGCCAGCAGCCGCGGUAACACGGGGGAUGCGAGCGUUAUCCGGAUUCAUUGGGUUUAAAGGGAGCGUAGGCGGCCCGACAAGUCAGCGGUAAAAGACUGCAGCUAAACCGUAGCACGCCGUUGAAACUGCCGGGCUAGAGUGCAGACGAGGUUGGCGGAACAGGUGAAGUAGCGGUGAAAUGCAUAGAUAUCACCUGGAACCCCGACAGCGAAGGCAGCUGACCAGGCUGUAACUGACGCUGAUGCUCGAGAGCGUGGGUAGCGAACAGGAUUAGAUACCCUGGUAGUCCACGCCGUAAACGAUG
rnacentral:rRNA from 1 species